UACGUAGGUGGCAAGCGUUGUCCGGAUUUACUGGGCGUAAAGAGCGCGCAGGCGGUCGAUCAAGUCGCGUGUGAAAGCCCCCGGCUCAACUGGGGAGGGUCACGCGAUACUGAUCGACUCGAAGGCAGGAGAGGGUAGUGGAAUUCCCGGUGUAGUGGUGAAAUGCGUAGAUAUUGGGAGGAACACCAGUGGCGAAAGCGACUUUCUGGGCCAUUCCUGACGCUGAGGUUCGAAAGCUCGGGGAGCAAACAGG
rnacentral:rRNA from 1 species